rnacentral:lncRNA from 1 species
CAAUGACGACGCAACACCAACGCUCUUCUUCUAGCAGUUUAUUCAGGAAAACUUAACAUUCUUUUUCUUCUACCCCUGGGGAGCACCCGUCCCUAGAAUAAGUACCCCUGAACCAACCAAUCACGGAUAGUCAUGUGGCGAAUGCGGAUAGGUACACGUAAGAGGGGGCAGAGCAUCAGACACAUCACAGCCAAAUAAGGAGUUGUUUAUCAUAAAGAGCUCUCGCCGUUGGGAUGGCGGAAGGCGGAAACCAGCGCCAUCUUUAAGGCGUGGCACACGCAGCUCUCCACAAAUGUGCAAGAUCAUUUUUGAAAAUUUCAACACCUCUUUGAAUAGAAGCAGCCAGUGUUUGGCUCCUAAUAGAAGAGCUGAAGGAAAGAAGAAAUAGGAUUCUUGAUGAGAAAAUAUUCAUUUAUUUCAUAUGUUACCAUUUUCAGGAUAAUGCUUAUCCUGGCAAGAAGUUUGAUGACGCUUCACAUGACUGCACCUAGAACAGCUGGAAGAGAACAGCAGUACCUCACAGCUCUCAUUGUGUAGUUCCCUGCCAUACACGCACCUUCGUGAGCCAUGUGAUGCUGUAGCUUUUAAUGCCAGCUUCUCUUGUAUUCUACAUUAACUUUUCUACUAAUAUUUGAAACUCCUUAUGAAUACAAGUAAUAUUUUCUUAAUUAUUUAUUACUUUGCAACCCCAAACUAUGAA